GGGGCUGGGGCUCAGUGGUAGAGCGCUUGUCUAGCAUGUAUGAGGCCCUCAGUUCAAUUCUCAGCACCA
rnacentral:tRNA from 1 species